AGAGUUUGAUCAUGGCUCAGGAUGAACGCUAGCGGCAGGCCUAACACAUGCAAGUCGAGGGGUAGGGUAGCAAUACCUGAGACCGGCGCACGGGUGCGUAACGCGUAUGCAACCUACCUUUUACAGGGGAAUAGCCCAGAGAAAUUUGGAUUAAUGCCCCAUGGUAUAUGUAAUUCGCAUGUUUUACAUAUUAAAGUUCCAACGGUAAAAGAUGGGCAUGCGUCCUAUUAGCUAGAUGGUAAGGUAACGGCUUACCAUGGCUACGAUAGGUAGGGGUCCUGAGAGGGAGAUCCCCCACACUGGUACUGAGACACGGACCAGACUCCUACGGGAGGCAGCAGUGAGGAAUAUUGGACAAUGGGCGCAAGUCUGAUCCAGCCAUGCCGCGUGCAGGAAGACGCAUCUAUGGUGUGUAAACUGCUUUUGUACGGGAAGAAACACCCCCUCGUGAGGGGGCUUGACGGUACCGUAAGAAUAAGGAUCGGCUAACUCCGUGCCAGCAGCCGCGGUAAUACGGAGGAUCCAAGCGUUAUCCGGAAUCAUUGGGUUUAAAGGGUCCGUAGGCGGUUUAUUAAGUCAGUGGUGAAAGCCCAUCGCUCAACGAUGGAACGGCCAUUGAUACUGAUAGACUUGAAUUACUGGGAAGUAACUAGAAUAUGUAGUGUAGCGGUGAAAUGCUUAGAUAUUACAUGGAAUACCAAUUGCGAAGGCAGGUUACUACCAGUGGAUUGACGCUGAUGGACGAAAGCGUGGGGAGCGAACAGGAUUAGAUACCCUGGUAGUCCACGCCGUAAACGAUGGAUACUAGCUGUUCGGGGCAACCUGAGUGGCUAAGCGAAAGUGAUAAGUAUCCCACCUGGGGAGUACGUUCGCAAGAAUGAAACUCAAAUGAAUUGACGG
rnacentral:rRNA from 1 species